rnacentral:rRNA from 1 species
UACAGAGGCCUCGAGCGUUAGGCGGAAUCACUGGGCUUAAAGCGUGUGUAGGUGGAUGCCUAAGUACCUUGUGAAAUCCCACGGCUUAACCGUGGAAUUGCUUGGUAUACUGGGCGUCUUGAGCCACUCAGGGGCUACCGGAACAAACGGUGGAGCGGUGAAAUGCGUAGAUAUCGUUUGGAACGCCAAUGGUGAAAACAGGUAGCUGGGGGUGUGCUGACACUGAGACACGAAAGCCAGGGGAGCGAACGGG